UACAGAGGGUGCAAGCGUUAAUCGGAAUUACUGGGCGUAAAGCGUGCGUAGACGGUAGCGUAAGUCGGGUGUGAAAGCCCCGGGCUCAACCUGGGAAUUGCAUUCGAGACUGCUCUGCUAGGGUGCGGAAGAGGGAAGCGGAAUUUCCGGUGUAGCGGUGAAAUGCGUAGAUAUCGGAAGGAACACCAGUGGCGAAAGCGGCUUCCUGGUCCAGCACCGACGUUCAGGCACGAAAGCGUGGGGAGCAAACAGG
rnacentral:rRNA from 1 species